GAGGAGGAGGAGGAGGAGGAGGAGGAAGAGACUUGCUUUGGCAGGGAGGGCGAAGGGGGGGUAAGGUGAAAAGGGUCAGUGAGUAACCCAGCUCCAGUAUGAUAAAGGUAAUUGUUGCUCCCAAGUGAGCACCGGGUGCUUCCUGGCUCUGGCUGCUCUGGCUGCUCGUGUCUGUGUUAUGCAGGCGUCUGCUGUGCCGAGCAGGGCUUUGCGAGAGGAGAGGAGAGGUUUGAUUGACCCUGUUGGCAGCGGUACGUGGCGAUAUUUGACGUUGUUUCUGCGCUAGCAUCACCAGGGCAGGGAGGAAGAUGCAGAGUCAGGGGCACGGCACUUGUGUGCUACCUAGGAUUUAUUUAGCUGGAGUAAGGACCGUGGCAAUUAAGAAUAAUUAAUUACAGUCUGCGAGCUGGGGCAGGGGGAGAGCGGCGUGGACCUAACCUGUCAUUAAGCUGUGGGCUCUGUGGAUGCUUUGCUGUGACGGAGGGCCGAGGGCUGACCAAGUCGUGGGGAGGAUUUGUAUGUGGGAAGAGAGGAGAUGGCUGUGCAGCGUGCUCCCGAAUCUGCUCUGAGCUUGCUGAUGACCAGGGAAAAGGCUCAAUGAAGGAGAAUUUCUGUUUUAAACAUAUAUUUUCCUAAAAUAUUUUUUUUUUUCAUACAAAGACUGCAGUCUGCAAAUGUAACUGCAACUUGUCUACUCUGGUAAAUAUCUU
rnacentral:lncRNA from 1 species